rnacentral:lncRNA from 1 species
UUGCCCUGAGUCAAUGCAUACCCAAAAAGCUUUAGACUAUAAAAGUGAUGCCACUGAGUGUUUAAAAAAAUUUUUUUAUGAGACUUUGCUUAAUGAUUCUGUCUGAUUCUAGUUCUAAAGAAGCACAAACCUACUUGCAUAGUGCCAAUCGAGCAUAAGGUCAAAGAGACAAAAUCAAUCCUAUGUGGAUUGAUGAUACUCUGCACAAAGAGCACAAAAACUUGCUCAUGGGUGAGAUUUGAGGUUGCAGCUGUUUAACAUGUGUUGAAUGCAGGACUUCCUUAAACCACAAACUCUAUAUCAAAUAUGUGACAUCAAUUAUUCUGCCUUCAUCUUGGCUCCUAUUUAUUCCUAUAAUCUAGUCCCUUUUCUCUUUUAGAGUAUGGCAACUUCCUGUAGUCUUGGCUGCAAAUGGUUAUAUACCCAAUUUGUUGACCUGCAUUUUCUAUAUUUUAAUGAUGACUCAUGUACUGCUGAAAAGAAGACUUCUCUUGGGUCUUGUGAGAGAAUGAUUAACAGAAUGUGAGACUCAGAAUCUUCUUGAGCCUGGUUGAGUCAGAACUCCUAGGAACAGUUCACCAACUGUCACUCUGAACCUGGGAGGUGAAGAAGGAAAGGUGUGUGGCUGAGACAUCUUGAAACCCAUCAAUCAAGCUACUGGGCUUUUGAAUAUCUACUGGCUGUGGUGAGACAUUAUCUUCAGUCUUUUGCUGGACAAUGACUGGAGAGCUGACCUACCUACUUUGAUGAGAACAUCUGUGGACAUCACACCUGGGACUCCAGUAUCUGACUUACCAAGGAACCUCUAUUUGUGCAAUUUUGACUCCCUGUUGGACUUGCCCUUAGGAACUUAGGUUUUAGUUCAGUGUGAAUUAGAUAGUGUUGAUUAAGUGGGUAAACAUUUAGCUUUCACCCUCCCCCACUCUCCUUCCCUUCAUGCCCUCUCUGUUAAAUAAAUUCAAUAAUUUUAUAUGUCCUGUUUUCGCA